AGCUCCGUUUUGCAUUUGACUGAAGAAAAAAACGUAUCAGCUAUUGAGAUGAAAGUAAAACAAUUAGAGACUCCAGAAUCAGGUGCACGGAGGCCCAAUUAGGACUGUAUAUGCAAAAGGCCAGGCGCUGAAGACUGAAGCUGAAUGUCAGAGCCUAUUUAAUGUCGAUUCAGCCAGCAUUUGGAAAAGCGUGCCGCUUGGUCUGACUCUUAAAGAAAGAAAUGUGAGCGACGGGAUGUGAUAGCAAGCAUGC